CGGUGGGUGAGCUGGAUGAAAA
rnacentral:piRNA from 1 species